rnacentral:tRNA from 1 species
UUCAAAAUAGCUCAGUGGUAGAGCUCUUGCCUAGCAUGCAUGAGGCCCUGGGUUCAAUCCUCAAUAUAGGAA